rnacentral:rRNA from 1 species
GAAAGAGGUCCCGAGCGUUGUUCGGAUUCAUUGGGCGUAAAGGGUGUGUAGGAGGUCGGGUAAGUCAGGUGUGAAAUCUCACAGCUUAACUGUGAAACUGCAUUGGAUACUAUCCGGCUCGAGGAAUGGAGGGGAGACUGGAAUACUUGGUGUAGCAGUGAAAUGCGUAGAUAUCAAGUGGAACACCAGUGGCGAAGGCGAGUCUCUGGACAUUUCCUGACGCUGAGGCACGAAAGCCAGGGGAGCAAACGGG